rnacentral:rRNA from 1 species
CUGCUGCCUCCCGUAGGAGUCUGGACCGUGUCUCAGUUCCAGUGUGGCUGGUCAUCCUCUCAGACCAGCUAGGGAUCGUCGCCUAGGUGAGCCGUUACCCCACCUACUAGCUAAUCCCAUCUGGGCACAUCCGAUGGCAAGAGGCCCGAAGGUCCCCCUCUUGGUCUUGCGACGUUAUGCGGUAUUAGCUACCGUUUCCAGUAGUUAUCCCCCUCCAUCAGGCAGUUUCCCAGACAUUACUCACCCGUCCGCCA